rnacentral:rRNA from 1 species
AAAAACAAUUGGCCCACCCCUCUCCCCCCCAAACAAACAAACAUUUUUAAACUUUUUGGUUUGGGUAGAGUAAGUUAAAGUCGUAACAACGUCUCCGUUGGUGAACCAGCGGAGGGAUCAUUACCGAGUUUACAACUCCCAAACCCCUGUGAACAUACCAAUUGUUGCCUCGGCGGAUCAGCCCGCUCCCGGUAAAACGGGACGGCCCGCCAGAGGACCCCUAAACUCUGUUUCUAUAUGUAACUUCUGAGUAAAACCAUAAAUAAAUCAAAACUUUCAACAACGGAUCUCUUGGUUCUGGCAUCGAUGAAGAACGCAGCAAAAUGCGAUAAGUAAUGUGAAUUGCAGAAUUCAGUGAAUCAUCGAAUCUUUGAACGCACAUUGCGCCCGCCAGUAUUCUGGCGGGCAUGCCUGUUCGAGCGUCAUUUCAACCCUCAAGCCCAGCUUGGUGUUGGGACUCGCGAGUCAAAUCGCGUUCCCCAAAUUGAUUGGCGGUCACGUCGAGCUUCCAUAGCGUAGUAGUAAAACCCUCGUUACUGGUAAUCGUCGCGGCCACGCCGUUAAACCCCAACUUCUGAAAUGUUCACCCCUCCGGAUCCCAGGCAGGUGC